AGUGGCGAACGGGUGAGUAACACGUGGGAAACCUACCUCUUAGCAGGGGAUAACAUUUGGAAACAGAUGCUAAUACCGUAUAACAAUAGCAACCGCAUGGUUGCUACUUAAAAGAUGGUUCUGCUAUCACUAAGAGAUGGUCCCGCGGUGCAUUAGUUAGUUGGUGAGGUAAUGGCUCACCAAGACGAUGAUGCAUAGCCGAGUUGAGAGACUGAUCGGCCACAAUGGGACUGAGACACGGCCCAUACUCCUACGGGAGGCAGCAGUAGGGAAUCUUCCACAAUGGGCGAAAGCCUGAUGGAGCAACGCCGCGUGUGUGAUGAAGGGUUUCGGUUCGUAAAACACUGUUGUAAGAGAAGAAUGACAUUGAGAGUAACUGUUCAAUG
rnacentral:rRNA from 1 species